UACGUAGGGUGCGAGCGUUAAUCGGAAUACUGGGCGUAAAGCGUGCGCAGGCGGCUUUGCAAGACAGAUGUGAAAUCCCCGGGCUUAACCUGGGAACUGCAUUUGUGACUGCAUGGCUGGAGUGCGGCAGAGGGGGAUGGAAUUCCGCGUGUAGCAGUGAAAUUCGUAGAUAUUGGGAAGAACACCGGUGGGCGAAGGCGGCUCACUGGCUCAUUUCUGACGCUCAGGCGCGACAGCGUGGGGAGCAAACAGG
rnacentral:rRNA from 1 species